CAGAACAACAAACAAUUGGUCCAAGCAAAGAAUCGCGGCUCUUCAAAAUAACACUUAUUGAACACCUUAUGGUUACUAGUUCGCAACUGUUAUUUUACACUAGAAAUAUUCACCAAGAGAAACGUCUCUUUGGCUCUUCCAUUUCAUAGAUUCCUUCUUGGUCGACAAUGCUUUAUUCCGAGCGAUAAGGUUGAAUGCCAUUUUGAGAUUGAAGCAAGUAUAAAUCCCAUCACCAUUCAAUAUGCAGCGAGCGGCAUUCACGUCCAAGAUUCCCACCGGGUCGUUAGUCCCAAAACGCUCUUUGGCCAACCGGGAACCCGGAGUGCAUGGAGAAUCGAAUGGAAAACGCUCCGUCAUCAAGCCAAUUUUAAAGCCAAACCAGAUGCAGCAGUGGAACGAGCGAAUGAUUGAAGAUGAAACGCCUCCACCUCUGGUUCCCAGUGAAGUAAUUCUCGUUGAUGAUGACGAGGAUUUGUUCGACUGGGAGCCAUUGGAUGCAACGGAGAUGGAGAUGGCGGUGUUCCAGAGAAUGAAGUUUGAGAGAAAUCUUCGGAAGGCGCAAGCAGAGAAUAUCAAACUGCGGCAGGAAAAUCAACGACUGAAAGCAACAAAAGGGGUAAGUUUUCUCAAUCGUUGUCGUUUUGAAUCCUUACUAUUAAUGAUAGGCGAGAUAGCGGAAUCAAUUUUAUGUUAUGGUUUUUGGUUAUUGUUGUGAGUUGUUAUUGUAGUCUUUAUUUUUGUUCGUUUGUUGCAUUCAGUUUUAAUAUAUUUCUGUAUUUUGUUGUGGUUUUUUAUUCAGAUUUCUGUAUUGUGGUUUUAGAUUUUUCCUUUGUUGAUUUUGAUUGAUUAGUUGUAGUGAUGUUUUUUUUGUAGCCUCUGCUUUUAUUAUGUUUUUUACUUAGAGUUCUACAUUGUGGUUUUAGUUGAUUUAUUUUCGUUUUUGUUUUCAUUGUAGGUUUUUUUUAUUAUUUGUUCUGUUAUCGUUUUCUGUGUAUUGUUGAACUCUACAUUAUUUAAUGUUGCGAUGUUUGAUGCCAUUUUUUAUAUAUUUCAUGGUAUAUUUACAAUAACCCGUUUGAUGAUAAUAAUUUUCUUGAAUCAUGCUUUAUACUAUAUUUGAUUGUUUUGUUUUUCUGUUGAUAACUUUAUUAAUAUAUUUUUUCUUGCGUUUUUUUGAGUAUUUGCGAGCCUCCAAGGCGAAUCUCCUGUCCAUAGUUGGACCUACUGGAUUCCCUAUAGUACUGAUGAAAUAUGUCAUGAGAUACCAAAACGAAGCAGUUACUGAAGCAGAUCAUGCAAGCGAAUCCAUGAGAGCAGAGAGCAUUUCCGGAGAUUUUUUUAAAUAUGUUAAUUGAAGUCCAAUAAAUUAUUUUCAUUUUAA